AGCUUAAGGAAAGCUAAGAUGGUUUAUGUUUUCUUGUUUGAAGCCAGUGUUUGCUAAUUUCUGUUGUCGAAGAUGACACAACUAAACCUACACUUCAGUUCGAAUACAUUUCUUUUUGCUUGGAAAACUCACGUGCGGUGAGUUUUACUUGUGGUUUAAAACUGCUGAUAGUAUGACGUCAGAAGGACAGUCGAACAUUCCCCGAUACAUGCAACGUAGACGUCAGAGGGCGCUGUCUCCGGUGGGACGCUACGGAAUCGUCGAGGAGUCGUCGCGUCGGUGGAUCCGGACAUCGCACAUGCGUGAUAUCAAUAUCGUUGGACUUUUGUGUUUUGGCAUGCCACAUGGACAUCGGGCCCAUCCUUGAACUUUUUCAGGUUUUCCCCUUGUAUGAAUGUGCUUGAUUGAGUGAGUGUUUGGGUGAUUUAUUUAGAUUUCAUUUCAGAUCAAUUUCGCCAAAAAGAAAUUCAUUGUUUAAUUUGAUAUAGUUAAUUCAUUGAUAAUGGAAUUUCACUGAUAUGUGACAUCAAAGAACUGGUUUGUAAUUGAAUUAAAUGUACUUAAAAUAAAUUCAAAGUCUUAAAAGUCUAUUAUUUGAUCUCUUGUCCUAAGAUCUCCUUCUCUUAUUUACUGGUUCCUUAACAGGGCCGUGACAAUGGGGGCUUGUCCGGGAGAAGGUGAUUUUUGUAGGAUAGAGAAUCGAACAGACAGGCUUUGACUUUAUUCUAGUUUGGCGUUUGUAGGUUUACUGAGUUUAUCACUGGCUAAUCUAUCAAUUGUUUAUAUCUGUUAUUGACCUCUCGCAAAUAUGGAAAUUGAGGCAUUUAUGAAGUUGGGUCAGAAAUGUGGCCUUGAAGGUAAAGAAUUAUUAGAUUAUGUAGAGUCCAAAGAAAAUCAACUAAAGGAAGAAAAACGUCAGCAACAAAAUGCUGAGCGUGAGGAACGGAUGAGGGAAAGA